UUAUUUGUAAACAUAUUUCAUGGUAUCAUUCAGGUGACAGGACUUAUUAAUUGAACAUAUCUCGCCUGUUGAAAGAACAUCCUAAAGUUUGAAGCAGCUAAGCAAAUUUUAGCUAUUUCAUUUAUUCAGGAGUAUAUAAGCAAUCAAACAUUGGUGGAAUUGUUGACAAAUGUUGUUAUCUAAUGUUCUUAUUUAAUUAAUAUUGCAUAAAGAAAGUGUCUUUCAAAAACUAAGAUUUAAAAAAAACGUUCAUUUAUUAAUACUCAAUUCCUGAAUUAGUACAGAAUAAAACUCUGUGGUAAUUGGUUGGAGAUUGGAGAGGCCCCCUUUUCUGAAUAGACCCAACUAGUAAAGUACAUGAAGAAUGAAAAUUCAAGGAUAAUAUGCAUUUGUGUGAAGAAAAAAACAACAGCAACCUAAGUUACCCAACCAAGAAUAAUACAAUAGCUGUUUUGAAAUCUUUAUAUUCCUAAAUAAUUGUAAAUAUCAGUUUUGUUGGAGUUCUUGUUAUUGUAAUCCCUUAUUGUUUCUGGGUUGUUCUUUUCAAAUUAUUCUGUUUUGUUUCUUGUAUUUUAAGUCAAUUUUCUAAAACUUAACAUGGUAAUUGAGACCAGAUAUCAUUUUCAGUAGCUUCAUGAUAAUGAUAACUGAUUAAGUUAGUUUUAAGUUAAUAUUCAAAUAUUAUAACAGCACAUUUUGUAGUGCUAAACAUAACCUACUGAAAAAUUCAGUAUCUGAAAAUAGGAGUUACUGUAGGUGUCCAAAAGUACUCGCACAUUACAACUUUUUACUGCUUAGCUGCUGACCAAAUAUGAAGUCUGCUAUUCAAUAGUCCUGGAGAAAUGGGUGACUAAUUCCUUUCAACAUAUUGAAACAUUCAAAGCACCAGUAAACAGGAAGGAGGUGUCCAUCAGAUCUGAAAAGUGCCUAUGUGUUACCAUUUAUCACUCUCAAGUGGCUGACCAUAGGUCAAUCUGUCAGUCCCUUAGAAAUGGAUGAUGGAAAUAUUCGUUUAACAAACAGAUGACUGAUCCUCAAGGAGAAUGCAAUAUAGCCCCCACUCCUAAGUGAGGGUACAAAUAAAUAAUAUCAGAAUGCACACAAAAAGUUGUUUUUUCUUCUUUUGUCAUCGAAUUUUUUAAUGGUAUGUACCAGUACAAUCUAGUAGAGCACAGAGCUGUUCCAACUACAUAAAACGUAGAUAGAAUUAGACAUGUACUAUUACAAAACAUACCUACACAUAUAAAACCUACAACACAAUUCAAUUAGGAAGAAUAAUCAAUACUGCAUAGUUUCAAAAUAGAUGCAAUAUGACACAAAAUAUGUGUACAUGUGAGAGCGAGUGUGUGGGAAAGGGGGGAUUACUCUAUAAGAUAAUUUCACAUUAAGUUGGGAAAACUUAUAUAUUUUAAAAUAUCAAAUAACUGUAAGAAUGCUUUUCAUUUGCAACUCCAAUGACACCAUGAAGCUUUCCAUUACCUUUUUGGCUAUAACUCCUAAAUUGAAAGGUUUUUUUUAACUAGCCUAAUCAGAGUUUGUAUAGUUUUACGAAUGAAUACUUUCAAAUUUUGUGCAACCUUUGGAUUAAAUAAAAACUUUCUAAGGAAUUUAAACAAAUCAAAUUCAUGAUUGCAGUGCAAGUAUAAAAAAAUAUAUGCUUACAUGUAUUAAAACACAAGUAUUUGUCAAUUGUAGGCUUUCAGUAUAUAAAUCUUCAACAUUUUUAAAAAUGUUCUUUCAACUGGCAAAUAUGAUACUAUUUCUCCUAAAGUAACUACAUUAAAAAUUUUCGUCAUGAUUUUAAUUAACAUUAUAAACAGAUAUUCAUCCAAGAAGAGAGAUUUACACUAACUAAGAACCUGGUAUUUAUUAUUUAUUAAAGUAUUUUCCCUCGUUGCCAAUCAUAUUCACCAAGCAAGCAUAUGAACAGAAAUGCUUGAUGAUGGGAGGUUUCUGCUUUCUAUUCAUUAAAGGCAUUCUAUAAAUUUGUAUACUGUAAAUUUAAAAAUCAUUGCGUGCAUUUAUUAUUGUGAUUUUUAGAAUACAAUGCGAUUUCAAUUUUUGAUAUUGAGGACACUCAGAAAUAUCCUGUUUAAUUCAUAUAAAGAAUUUCAAACUGCGAGUUUUAGUUAUUGCAAUAGUAACCCUGUAGCAUUUUUCGAAUUAAUUAAAACAUCGCAAUAAUUUCUGAAUUUACAGUACAUGGCCUUCCAGAAAUAAGACCGACGGAUUUAGUUGUUUUUGCAUAAACAUGAAAUAAUAUCAAGGUUUUCAUUUACGUAUCACAGAAAACUUUUCUGCAUUAAAUUGAUCAUAGCAUUACUAUAAUUUUAAAGGGAUGAUAGAAUUUGACUGUUCUUAACCUUGCCUGGACAAAAUUGAAUGUAUUUUAUCAAACCUUAUCCUUUUAUAUUAUUUUUUGUACAAAUAAACAACUAGAAACACUUUAAACUGUUAUGUUAUUUAGCCCAAUUUCAAGCCUCACAACCUUGUUAUAAAGAAAAUAUAAAUGUAAGAGAUAUUAAGUAUGGUAUUAUUAGAAAAGUGUGUACGUCAUUCUUACACAUGUUUUACAAUUGAUUAUUAAUGCCAUGAAAUCUGAAGAAGCAAAAAUGAAGAUUGUUGUACCGGUAAUUGUAAAAAAAAGUUCUAACUAGAGGCUCUAAAGAGCCUGUGUCGCUCACCUUGGUCUAUGUGAAUAUUAAAGGAAGCAGAUGGAUUCAUGACAAAAUUGUGUUUUGCUGAUGGUGAUGUGUUUGCACAUCUUACUUUACUAAACAUUCUUGCUGCUUAAAAUUAUCUCUAUCUAUAAUGAACUUGGCCAUUAGUUUCAGUGGAAAAUGUUAGUAAAAAAUUUACAAUUUUAUGAAAUUGUUAAAAUUGACUAUAAGAACAAUAACUCCUAAGGGGGUCAAUUACCAUUUCGGUCAUGUUGAUUAUUUGUAAAUCUUACUGCUGAACUUAUUGUUGUUUACAGUUUAUCUCUAUCAAUAAUAAUAUUCAAGAUAAUACAAAAACAGCAAAAUUUCCUUAAAACUAACAAUUGGGUCAGCAACCCAACAACGGGUUGUCCGAUUCAUCUAAAAAUUUCAGGGCAGAUAAAUGUUGACCUGAUAAACAAUUUUACCCCCUGUCAGAUUUGCUUUAAAUGCUUUGGGUUUUGAGUUAUAAGCCAAAAACUGCAUUUUACCCCAUGUUCUAUUUUUAGCCAUGGUGCCAUCUUGGUGGAUGGCCGGGUCACCGGACACUUUUCAAACUACUAACCCAAAAAAUGAUUGUGGCCAAGUUUGGAUUAAUUUGGCCCAGUAGUUUCAGAGGAGAAGAUUUUUGUAAAAUAUUACUAAGAUUUACCAAAAAUGGUUAAAAAUUGACUAUAAAGAACAAUACUCCUAAGAAGGUCAACUGACCAUUUCAGUCAUGUUGACUUAUUUGUAAAUCUUACUUGGACAUUAUGCUGUUUAUGGUUUAUCUCUAUCUAUAAUAAUAUUCAAGAUAAUAACCAAAAAGAGCAAAAUUUCCUUAAAUUACUAAUUCAGGCAGCAACCCAACAACGGCUGUCCGAUUCAUCUUGAAAAUUUCAGGCAGAUAGAUCUUGAACUGAUAAACAAUUUACCCUUUGUCAGAUUUGCUCUAAAUGCUUUGGGUUGAGUUAUAAGCCAAAACUGCAUUUUACCCCAUGUUCUAUUUUUGCCAUGGCGGCCAUCUUUUUGAUGCCGGGUCACCAGACACAUUUUCAAACUACUAACCCAAAAAUGAUUGUGCCAAUGAUUAAUUUGGCCCAUAGUUUCAGAGGAGAAGAUUUUUGUAAAAUAUUACUAAAUUUACGAAAAAUGGUUAAAAAUUGACUAUAAAGGGCAAUAACUCCUAAAGGGGUCAACUGACCAUUUCCGUCAUGUUGACUUAUUUGUAAAUCUUACUUUGCUGAACAUUAUUGCUGUUUACUGUUUAUCUCUAUUAUAAUAUUCAGAUAAUAACCAAAACAGAAAAAUUUCCUUAAAAUUACUAAUUCAGGCAGCAACCCAACACGGUUAUCCAUUCAUCUGAAAAUUCAAGGGCAGAUGAUCUUCACUGUUUAAAAUUCUACCCCAUGUCAGAUUUGCUCUAAAUGUUUGGUUUUGAGUUAUUAGCCAAACUGCAUUUACCCUAUGUUCUAUUUUAGCCAUGGCGGCCAUCUGGAUGGUUGGCGGUCACCGGACACAUUUUUUAAACUAGAUACCAAUUGAUGAUUGUGGCCAAGUUUGGUUUAAUUUGGCAGUGUUUCAGAGGAGAAAUUUUUGUAAAAGUUAACGGACGACACGACGACGGACGACGACGGACGACAGGACGCCGGACGCCAAGUGAUGAGAAAAGCUCACUUGGCCUUUUAGGCCAGGUGAGCUAAAAAUGUUAACCUAUUAACUUUGUGUGACUGAAUUAUGAGGGCAGCCUUAUUUCAUUGCUCCUGUCAAGCUAUACAGGCACCACUUAAUUAUUUUUAUAUUUUUUUUUUUAUCCAUUUCUUCUUCUUCCAAAUAUUCAAUAUGAUAAAUAUUCUGGCAAUUGCAAAUUACAGACCAGGUUAAAAUUGUAAGUUUAAGAGAUUCUGAAUUCAAUGAUCUUAAAAUUUUACAUAACAGCAAUGUGUCUAAUGGUUUGUACACUAGUUUCUUUUAACACUGCCAUUUUGUGAUGAUUAAUUACACCAUAAAAUGUAACUUUUGUAUUUUUCAAAAUCAAUUAAAAUAUAAGCAGACAAUCUUUUUUUUUUCUUUAGACAGAUUUAAACACCUCCAUAUCACACAUGAAUAAUUACAUUAUUUGUAUGUUUCAUAACAUCUGAACUUCUGAUUGGCUGACAAUGGAAUUAAAUAACCAUUCCAAAAUUAAAUUUAUUUCCCAAUGAUAAAGUGAUUUCAAUGCAUAGGAUAACAAACAUAAAUUUGAUAUAACUUGCUUUUUCAUGAUUGUAGUAUAAAAAUUUAACAUAAGAAUUGAAUACUUCUUUUUGUAAUAGCGUUGAUUGUGCAUUUAAUAAUGUGCUUUAGUCAACACUUUUACACCCCAAUAAAAUUCAGUCAGGAUUCUACUUUGUCAAAAUUAUCUCCCUAUUAGGCAACCUUAUCUUUUUUCAUACUGAAAAUGCAAGCUAUAUAGGGAUGAUAGGCUGUCAAUUUAGCUCUUGAAAACUUGAUAAAUAUCUUCUCUAAAUAAGAGCUAAUUUUCUUUUGUUUGAUUUCAAUUGGAUAUCAGUCUGAAUUACAAAAAAGAAGCAUUCAAUUGUUUAACAAUUUUCAUCUAACAUGACAAAAAUCUAAGUGGGAAUAAAGCAGACAGGGACGAGAAUCUAGGAAUUCAUUUUAUAUGGCCUUUUUUCUUUUUUUAGGGGGGUUAAAAACAGCAUGACCUUUUGCUAAAAGAAUGAUGAAAAGGAAGAAAGUUAUUUAAUAUAACUCCGUUCACUAGUACAAGACUGACCAUGAAAUAUAAAAUGUAAAGAGGUACACUGCAGUUUUAUAAAAAUGCUGGACAAGACAUAGUAAAUUAUAAAUGUCAACAGUUAGGUUCCAAGCUUCACACACACACACAAUAGUCCAUGCAUAUCAAGUAUCUCUUUCUUCAACUAUUUGUUCAAAUGCAUUUUAUGCCAUUAACUUUGAAUUUCAAGUCUCUUGGAUUUACUACAUUCAGGAAAAUUCAUUUUGAUUCUCACUUUUUCUCUAUUUCUAAAAUUCAAAGUUUUUUUUAAAGCACUAUCACAGGAUAAAUAAAUGACACUUGAUGUUUUUUUCUUUCUCUCUCUCUCACGAUGCAUUCCCAUUGACUUGGUCUGGUUGAUUGCUGGCAGGGAUGAUAAAUGAUGGAGAAUAAGGGAAAAGUUUAUGACAGUCAGCUUGGUAUUUCUGUGCCGUCGUCUCACAUUUUCCAAAAUCACCUCGACACAUUGCUUCAAGCACUUCUAUACAAUUCUACAAAUGUAAAUGAAACCAUUUUAACAUCAGCAUUUUUUUUAAUGUGGAUAGAACCAUUGCUUUCAUGUUGGAACAACUUAUCCAUGAAGCCUAUAGAUAAAUAUAUAUUAAUUCAUGGUUAACCUAUACACAUGAAUUCCACUAAAUAGAUAUAGGAAGAUGUGACAAUGAGACAACUUUCCAUCCAAGUAACAAUUUAUAAAAGUAAACCAUUAUAGGUCAAGGUGCGGCCUUCAACAUGGGAGCUUUGGCUCACACCAACAGCAAGCUAUAAAAAGCCCCAAAAACCAAAGUAUGUUCUCCACUAUUAAUAAUAAAUGUUAUGAUUCAUUUAAAACAUAAGAACAACAAGAUAUGUACAUCUGAAUCAGUUUAAGCACAGCUGCUUUAGAAAGUCAACUUUAUAUUAAUUCAUUAUGAAGGUUUCCCUUUGCUUUUGUCAAAUGCAGGGAUCUCCAUGGAUGAAAAUUGAAUGGAGGAAUUUCACCAUUACAACCUUGUCUACGCUGUAACAUGUAGCGCGAUCGGAAUUUUUAUCCUCAUACAAGGAAUGGUGAACAUGCUAAUUCAUUGCUUAUUUAAAUUAUAUUUAUUGAAUUUCAUUAUAGAAUUAGAAUAUAGUAUUUUAUUUAUUCGCCGUUUUAAACCAUUCAAAUGCCAAGUCUUCAUGGUCCCCCCUUAGUCGAGAAUGACCAAAAGCUGUCAUGAAGGUCCCCAUGCAGAUUUCUUUUAUUUUUGGUAAUUGUUAUGGGGGUUAAAAAUCAUCUGAUGUGGAGCUUAAUUUUGUGACACUGUCCAAAUCGGAGCCCUUACCAGUAUGCUAUUAGCACUACAAAAAACAAUUCGUACGGGUUUGUAAGGUAAAGAGAUUUGUAAAGCAAACGUUGACAAUGAAAAGGUUUUUUAAUGACUUUAUCUGGAAAAAUUGAUGCGUCAAUGCUCUUUCGAGUCUGAUAGAAACCGGAAACGCGGAUGUAAUGAAUUUGAUGUAAUAUACGAAAUGAAUCGGAAUUAGAUACAUAUUUCUUUACAGGAAAUAUUUAAGUUUUUCUUUUAAACUUUUAAGUAAUUCUAAUUAUCGUUACAGCAGUACUCGAGUUUUUGCGAUGAAAUAAUAUUACUGUUUUGCGUCUUAUUUUGUACUCUUAAAAAAGGGGGAUGCUGAUUGGCAUACGUCAAAAUAAAGCACGGUCGACUUGUUAACUGUUUUCUUUGUAACUGGAUUAUUUAUUAAUUUAUUUAUUUAAUCUAAAUGAUUCAUAAUCAUUUGCUGAAACUUAGUUGAUUACUUCGACAAAUGAUCGCAGAUAGUAUUCUCCUGUCUGGUUUGUUGAUUACCUUACAAGCUCAGGUCAAGUAAUUAGCGAUCUUAAUCCGGAUAUCCCUCAGGCGUUAGAACUGUAUUGGAUUAUAACAUAAAAAGCCUAAGGGUUAUGCAAUUACAUGCAUUUGAUUAUAAUUGAUAAAAAAAUGGCGUCGGGCUACAAAAAGGGAUGAAGUUUUGAACGAUGGCGGAAGACAAUUUAACGAUGGCGCAAGACAAUUUAACGAUGGCGCGAGUAUGACGAUGGCGCAAGACAUUUGAACGAUGGCGGGGCUCCAUCGUUAAACAGGCCAUGGAGAUCCCUGAAAUGACUUGAAAAUUUUCUUUUUUUAGGGUAAAAUUUUUGUUAAGUUUUUUUCUGUGUUAUAGGGCAAACCAGGUUAGUUUUUUUCUUUCUUGAAGGCUGUAGAUACUAACUUGUCAUUUCUAUGACAUUUGGUCAUCUGGCGGGGAAUUGUCUUAUUAGCAUUAUACCACAUUCUUAUUUUUAUAAUUUAAAUGUUAAAACUGUAAAUAUAUGCAUUACUUAACUUACAUUAAGUUGUAUUGAACAUUAUUAUCACACUUGACUUUUUAUGCUAAUGUAUGUAUGCAAUGUACUAGUAUAUGUUUGUGUUUUGUUUGAUUUUUCAUUACGAGGGCCUCAGGGAAGAUUAGUUAUAUAGCUAACUGUGUAACCCUCUUAAAAUAAAGUAUUGUUGUUGUUGUUGUUGUUGUUGUUAAACCUGAUGAUUUUUUUUUAUUGAAAAAAUCCUAUGCGAAUCAAGUAUGUUAAAACAAAAAUUCCAUGGAGGAAAGGGUUAAAAGAAAAACAGACACAAACAAAAGGUUAAAUUUGAGAAAAAAACGUGAAAAUCAUGUCGUGGUCAAACGUACAUCAUAAAAAAUUUCCAUACACAAAAUAUAGCUGACUUAUUGCAUAUAAAUUAUAAUACUAUAAAAAGACAAAACUUCAAGCACUUGACUUUGACCACUGAACCAUAGAAAUUGGUUCAAGGUCAGAUGACACCUACCAGUUGGACAUGUACACUUUCCUAUCAUUCCAUACACCAAAUAUAGUAUCUGAAAAAUUGUUACUUGGAUGGAGAGAUGUCUCAUACCACAUCUUCCUAUAUCUAUUGACCAUGAAAAUUCAACCUAUUAGUUUAUUGAUCAAGGAAAUGAGGUUGAGGUUAAAUGAAAACUGUCGGGCAUGAGGACCUUGCAAGGUACACUCAUACUAAAAAUAGUUAUCCUAUUCCUCAUAAGAAAGAAAUCAACGUGACAAAAAAUCUUAACUUUUUAUUCAAGUAGUCACUGAACCAUAAAAAUAAGAUGACAAUGGACAUAUGGCAGACUGAAACUUUUUACAUAAGAAAUCUGCAUACAAAGUAUGAAGCAUCCUGAUCUUCCACCUUCUAAAACUAAACUUUUAAGAAGUUAGUAAACGCUACCAGAUCACUUUCACUAUCUUUAGCUUUCUGCAACAGAAGUUUUUGUGUUUUAAUUUUUGUUGAGAAAGAAGUCACAUCUACCUUCAAAACACACAAAGACUUAAAAAUAGUUACUGUGCUUAUCCAGUGACCUUUGGGGUAUCACAAUAGCAAUGGCCAAAACAUUUACCAAUUGCAGUUAGAUUUCUUCUCCAACUAACUAUCAACUGGUAGAAUAUUUUUAGCAGAUUGCUCAAGUGAAAUGUUGUAGUAUGAAGUGAGUGCGUAAAUUCAAAGUAAUCUUAUCAUCCAGAUCAGUUAGUUGUAUCUUUGUAUUCUUUUCAAACACAUAAUUACAUCCCAGCUCCUUUGUUCUAACAGGGGUGAUCUGAGCCGGAUCAUACCUACCAGAUCACCCCAGUUUGAGUUUCUUUGUUAUGCAUGCUUUCCUUUGUUCUGUUACAUUUUGGCGGGAAUGUCAAAUCCACUAUAAAACUUAUUAAUUAUACGGAAAAGACUACCUAUCAAAAUUCACGUAGAAAAAAUCCAGUGUAUAUGCUGGGAUUCGAACUCAAGACCUUUAGCAUAUCAAGCCGCGACACAUACCACUACACCAGGACGACUGGAUACGAAAUAAUAGUAAUUUGAUAUACUUAAAGGUAGCAAUUAAGAUCUUUUUAUAAGUGGGGCGAGUUGUCAGACCUUUAUUCAGUGGGGUUUUUACCUUUUUCGUUAAUUAAUGAGUUUUCAGACUGAUUGUUCAAUUUGAUUUUACACUUUUUCAAAGUGAGCAAGUCGGUAAACAAGAGUGGGACGAUAUUUUUAUAAAGUGGCGAUAUAGUGUGGGCCGAUUGGCAAGUGGGGCGAGUUGACAUUGUUUGAUAUCUACUCAUCGUGUUUGGGGGUCAAAAAGGGUAUACAUCAUAUAGUAAUAUAUAAAGUAUUUUUAUGGUUGUGUGACGUUCUAAACUAGAUUUUAUGAAUUGUAAAUGGUUUUUAGUCUAAUAUAAAACAGCUGGGAUGUAAAAUAGUUAUCCCAGUCGGACAUGGUGUGUCAGUGUUAGAUCACCCUCUGGCCUCCGGCCAUCGGGGUGAUCUUACACUGACACACCGCGUCCUUAUGGGAUAACUAUUAAUGACUUACUAUAGUAUGAGUACUGAUGAAGGUCUAAUAUUGACAAGGAAACUUCUAUCAUAAUAUUUUAUAAAUAAAUAGUUAAACAUUGUUUUGUAAGUCUAUAAUUUAUAGCUCGUUUUCCAACAACAAGUUAGUGCAUAAUUGUAAUUUGGAUUUUUUUUUCAAAGCAAUUACUUAUCUGCUACCAUUAAAGGAAAUAAUUUACAUUACUGAAAAUCAGCAAAUGUGUUAAAUUUGUUACUUAACUUUCCUCAUUUAAUUUGUUUGUAACAUUACUUUAUGAUUAUUAACUUUUAUCCCUCUGUUUUGAAAAGAAACAAUGAAUUUAUUUUUAAGAUGAUAAAAUUUUGAAAAAAACUGUUAAAAACUAUUCUGAAAACAUUCAAAGUUCUAUAAAUAAAUUCCCUGUAAAUUAAGAACGUAUCACAGCCAGUAGCAGUAAUUUUAUUUUGACAUGAAUUUUUUAUAUGGUAAAAUUAUAGUUAACAGUGUUGCACUUUGCAUUGUUCAAAGUUAUUAAUAAGGAUCUCUACAUGGCACAAGAUAACUUAUAAGCAGUAUUGUCAAAACCUUUGAAUUGUGUCCUAAAGGCCUUCAACUUCUCCUAAUUUGGCAUCUUUUUUUUAUUCAAGUCGUAUUGAUGAUUUUUUAGGCAAAAUCAGAAGCCUGGUAUCAUUGAUUAAUUUUUAGUGUACAAAACUCAAUAAAAAUUUUCCUUAUGCCAGAGAUCAGUAUUGUAUAAAAUUAUACAAUUAAUCAUAACUUUCUAGAAGACAAACUAUAAAAAUACAUCUACAAAACAAUGGUUGAACUAUUUAUUUAUAAUCUAUUUAAUGAUAGAAGUUUCCUUGUCAUUAGACUUCUUUAUUCAGUGACUCAUACUAUCUAAGACAUUAUUGUGUUUGAAAAGAAACAAGAUUCAACAACUGGAAUCUGGAUGGUAAGUAUUUACUUUGAAUUACAGCCUCACUUCAUACUAACAAUUUCACUUGAACAAUCUGCAAAAUAUUGACCAGUUGGAUCAGUUCUGUGGGAAGAAAUAAACUGCAAUUUGGUAAACUGUUUGGCCAUUGCUAUUGUGAUACCCCAAAGGUCACUGUAAUUAAAAAAAGAAUUGUUGACAACUGCUGACUAAAAUCAAUUGAAUGGAUACAAUAAUUGACUAGACUAUCUAUCCAUAUACUUAUUAAUUACACCAUUUAUUUUCAAAGGGAAAUAAUAAAAAAUAAAUCCUCAAUUGGAUUCCAUUUUCUGUUGUAUAAACUAAGUAUGAUUUUCACUCUGCUAAGGUCUACAACUCAACAAUGAUAAAAGCUAAAAUCUUGAAAAUCGACCUUGACCCUUAUUUAGUCACAGGAAACAACAUAUCACAAUUUGAAAAGAUUUUGUCAAAGUCUUAUCAAGUUAUCGCAGACACUGUUUGGCAGCAGCUUUUCCACCAUACAUCCUGAAAUCAAUAACGGAUUUUCCCUUUGUAGAUGCAAUCUAAGAUAUGAAUAAAAUAUGCACCCCCCAUUUUUUUUAAAAGAAUUUGGCUGAAAAUCUAGGAAGAUUUUUAUAAAGCCUCAACAUACAUUGGAUGUUGGAUGUGUACGGAUUGAUAGUUUAGUCGGGCGUAUGACAUUGCGCCGAUUUUUGAAAAUUUUCAUUCUUUCAUUUCGCCGAUUUCAUUUUUUCAUUUGCGCCGAUUUUAUAUUUUUCCUAUUGGAUUUACAGGUAAGUUACGGUAAAAUCAUACUUUUAAUUGAUGAUCACAGAGUAUAAAGACAAAUCAAGUGACAUUGCAAUUGGUAAAUGGUAUCCCAAGUUUCGGGUAACAUUCCUUUUCCUAAAUGAAUCGAUGACUGCUUCACAUUUCACAUUGUCUGAACUCCUUCUGAUGACAAAUGAUACAUUCUUAGACAACGUACAAGUACACAUUCCAAACGGUUCAACCAAUUCGUGAUGGGGUCCAUAAAUUAACGAAGGAUGAUUUCAACUUCACCAUUUGGAACUCUUGAUUUAUAGCUCCUUGAGGAAAUGCGAUUCUAGAAAUGCCCAACCAGUAAGUAUGCAGACAAAGAAAAGAUGGCCCUUCGUUAUCGACAAUUACGCCAAUAUAUAAAGAGACGAAAUCAUAAGAAAGGAAUAUAUGAGAUGUGUUGCCUAUACAUACUCGGCAAGAACAGGUUUAUGAUUUGAAUGUAUUCCGUUUUAUGGAUUUGAAUGCUGUACAUAUAUUUUUAAUUCGUCAUUUUAGUACAACAAAGUGCUUUUAUCUUAGGUUUUUUACUUCGAUUUAAGCAGAGACAACAGUUAUAUACAUGUUAUGAUUGAAAAUUCAUAACAUAUGUCACUGGCUAACGGAAGAGGUCUUUAAUGAUAAAUGUAAUAACAUUACUGGGAUGGAGAGUUUGUCUCAUUGGCACUCAUACCACAUCUUCUUAUAUCAUUUCACCUGUAAUUUACCUGUUAUUUACCUGUAAAAAAAUUGGCAAAAAAAAAAAAUUGGUGCAAAUGAAAGAAAAAAUCGGCGCAAAUGAAAUGCAGAUCGGCGCAAAUGCAAAACGCCGGUUUAGUCUUAGAUGCAUGAUUUUUUUACUAGUUGUUAGUGGCUUUGAACUAGCUGUCAGAUAACUGCGAGUACUCUCAGAUCUGUUCAUUAUGUCUUUUUGUGUCGGGAUGUAUAAGUACCUGGCCACGUCCACUUGUAUUUUUGUCUAUCUGAUGAGUUAAGCCUUUUUCAACUGAUUUUUAUAGUUCGUUUUUAUAUUGUACUGUUAUACCACUGUCCCAAGUUAGGGGGAGGGUGGAUCCGUUAACAUGUUUAACCCACCACUUAUUUAUGUAUGUGCUGUCCAAGUCAGGAGCCUGUAAUUCAGUGGUUGUCGUUUGUUUAUGUAUUACAUAUUUGUUUUUCGUUCAUUUUUUUUUUACAUAAAUAAGGCCGUUAGUUUUCUCAUUUGAAUUGUUUUACAUUGUCAUAUCGGGGCCUUUUAUAGCUGACUAUGCAGUAUGGGCUUUGCUCAUUGUUGAAGGUGACCUAUAGUUGUUAAUGUCCGUUUCAUUUUGGUCUUUUGUGGAUAGUUGUCUCAUUGGCAAUCAUACCACAUCUUCUUUUUUAUAUUGUCAGAUGUGGAUUCUUCACAUUUUACUUGUGUACCAUUAUGUUGUGAUAUAGCAAGCUCAUUUUUGUAUAGUCAUCAAUUAUGGCAAAUACUACAUGCAGUUUCAGGAUAAUAGCAUUUUCAGGAGCUAUAAAUAAUCUGCUUUGUACUAGAAAAACAUUUCAUAAUUUCAUUGUUUGUUGAGAGGAUAACAGUUUUCAAGAAAACUGACACAUUAUAUGGUACUAGGAGAGGAGAAACUACAAAAUGCCUAGUUUUUGCAAAGUCAAUGGAUUUUGAUCCCUUCACUCUAGGCGAGUUCUUUCAUCUAUUAAGGAACACAGAUUGUUGUAAAAUAGUAUUUUAUUUGUAAACAUAUUUCAUGGUAUCAUUCAGGUGACAGGACUUAUUAAUUGAACAUAUCUCGCCUGUUGAAAGAACAUCCUAAAGUUUGAAGCAGCUAAGCAAAUUUUAGCUAUUUCAUUUAUUCAGGAGUAUAUAAGCAAUCAAACAUUGGUGGAAUUGUUGACAAAUGUUGUUAUCUAAUGUUCUUAUUUAAUUAAUAUUGCAUAAAGAAAGUGUCUUUCAAAAACUAAGAUUUAAAAAAAACGUUCAUUUAUUAAUACUCAAUUCCUGAAUUAGUACAGAAUAAAACUCUGUGGUAAUUGGUUGGAGAUUGGAGAGGCCCCCUUUUCUGAAUAGACCCAACUAGUAAAGUACAUGAAGAAUGAAAAUUCAAGGUUAAUAUGCAUUUGUGUGAAGAAAAAAACAACAGCAACCUAAGUUACCCAACCAAGAAUAAUACAAUAGCUGUUUUGAAAUCUUUAUAUUCCUAAAUAAUUGUAAAUAUCAGUUUUGUUGGAGUUCUUGUUAUUGUAAUCCCUUAUUGUUUCUGGGUUGUUCUUUUCAAAUUAUUCUGUUUUGUUUCUUGUAUUUUAAGUCAAUUUUCUAAAACUUAACAUGGUAAUUGAGACCAGAUAUCAUUUUCAGUAGCUUCAUGAUAAUGAUAACUGAUUAAGUUAGUUUUAAGUUAAUAUUCAAAUAUUAUAACAGCACAUUUUGUAGUGCUAAACAUAACCUACUGAAAAAUUCAGUAUCUGAAAAUAGGAGUUACUGUAGGUGUCCAAAAGUACUCGCACAUUACAACUUUUUACUGCUUAGCUGCUGACCAAAUAUGAAGUCUGCUAUUCAAUAGUCCUGGAGAAAUGGGUGACUAAUUCCUUUCAACAUAUUGAAACAUUCAAAGCACCAGUAAACAGGAAGGAGGUGUCCAUCAGAUCUGAAAAGUGCCUAUGUGUUACCAUUUAUCACUCUCAAGUGGCUGACCAUAGGUCAAUCUGUCAGUCCCUUAGAAAUGGAUGAUGGAAAUAUUUGUUUAACAAACAGAUGACUGAUCCUCAAGGAGAAUGCAAUAUAGCCCCCACUCCUAAGUGAGGGUACAAAUAAAUAAUAUCAGAAUGCACACAAAAAGUUGUUUUUUCUUCUUUUGUCAUCGAAUUUUUUAAUGGUAUGUACCAGUACAAUCUAGUAGAGCACAGAGCUGUUCCAACUACAUAAAACGUAGAUAGAAUUAGACAUGUACUAUUACAAAACAUA
rnacentral:lncRNA from 1 species